rnacentral:rRNA from 1 species
GGGACACGUGGUAUCCUGUCUGAAUAUGGGGGGACCAUCCUCCAAGGCUAAAUACUCCUGACUGACCGAUAGUGAACCAGUACCGUGAGGGAAAGGCGAAAAGAACCCCGGCGAGGGGAGUGAAAAAGAACCUGAAACCGUGUACGUACAAGCAGUGGGAGCACGCUUAGGCGUGUGACUGCGUACCUUUUGUAUAAUGGGUCAGCGACUUAUAUUCUGUAGCAAGGUUAACCGAAUAGGGGAGCCGAAGGGAAACCGAGUCUUAACUGGGCGUUAAGUUGCAGGGUAUAGACCCGAAACCCGGUGAUCUAGCCAUGGGCAGGUUGAAGGUUGGGUAACACUAACUGGAGGACCGAACCGACUAAUGUUGAAAAAUUAGCGGAUGACUUGUGGCUGGGGGUGAAAGGCCAAUCAAACCGGGAGAUAGCUGGUUCUCCCCGAAAGCUAUUUAGGUAGCGCCUCGUGAAUUCAUCUCCGGGGGUAGAGCACUGUUUCGGCAAGGGGGUCAUCCCGACUUACCAACCCGAUGCAAACUGCGAAUACCGGAGAAUGUUAUCACGGGAGACACACGGCGGGUGCUAACGUCCGUCGUGAAGAGGGAAACAACCCAGACCGCCAGCUAAGGUCCCAAAGUCAUGGUUAAGUGGGAAACGAUGUGGGAAGGCCCAGACAGCCAGGAUGUUGGCUUAGAAGCAGCCAUCAUUUAAAGAAAGCGUAAUAGCUCACUGGUCGAGUCGGCCUGCGCGGAAGAUGUAACGGGGCUAAACCAUGCACCGAAGCUGCGGCAGCGACGCUUAUGCGUUGUUGGGUAGGGGAGCGUUCUGUAAGCCUGCGAAGGUGUGCUGUGAGGCAUGCUGGAGGUAUCAGAAGUGCGAAUGCUGACAUAAGUAACGAUAAAGCGGGUGAAAAGCCCGCUCGCCGGAAGACCAAGGGUUCCUGUCCAACGUUAAUCGGGGCAGGGUGAGUCGACCCCUAAGGCGAGGCCGAAAGGCGUAGUCGAUGGGAAACAGGUUAAUAUUCCUGUACUUGGUGUUACUGCGAAGGGGGGACGGAGAAGGCUAUGUUGGCCGGGCGACGGUUGUCCCGGUUUAAGCGUGUAGGCUGGUUUUCCAGGCAAAUCCGGAAAAUCAAGGCUGAGGCGUGAUGACGAGGCACUACGGUGCUGAAGCAACAAAUGCCCUGCUUCCAGGAAAAGCCUCUAAGCAUCAGGUAACAUCAAAUCGUACCCCAAACCGACACAGGUG